AUUGAACGCUGGCGGCAGGCCUAACACAUGCAAGUCGAACGAGUGGCGGACGGGUGAGUAAUGUAUGGGGAACUGCCUGAUGGAGGGGGAUAACUACUGGAAACGGUAGCUAAUACCGCAUACUAUCGGAUGAACCCAGAUGGGAUUAGCUAGUUGGUGGGGUAAAGGCUAACCAAGGCGACGAUCCCUAGCUGGUCUGAGCGGAUGAACAGCCACACUGGAACUGAGACACGGCCCAGACUCCUACGGGAGGCAGCAGUGGGGAAUAUUGCACAAUGGGCGCAAGCCUGAUGCAGCCAUGCCGCGUGUAUGAAGAAGGCCUUCGGGUUGUAAAGUACUUUCAGCGGGGAGGCGUUACCCGCAGAAGAAGCACCGGCUAACUCCGUGCCAGCAGCCGCGGUAAUAC
rnacentral:rRNA from 1 species